AGGUUAGGCAAGAGAGCCUGUCAGUUCUGAAAAGCAUCAUAGUAAUUAUCUCAUAGUACCACCUUACACAGUUUCUAUCAGAGUUACAAAAAGAAAUAGUACUGAGGAACUCCUGAAAGCUGAUUCUGGAUACUUCAGAGAUAAUCCAAGACUAUUUAGAGCAAGAAUAAUGUUCCUCCAAUCACUGUGUGCUCAGCCUGUGUUCUGCUGGUUGUUCCCACAAAUUUCCC
rnacentral:lncRNA from 1 species